rnacentral:rRNA from 1 species
AACGAACGCUGGCGGCAGGCUUAACACAUGCAAGUCGAACGCGUGUAGCAAUACACGAGUGGCGCACGGGUGAGUAACGCGUGGAUAUCUGCCUUUUGGUUCGGAAUAACCCCGGGAAACUGGGGCUAAUACCGAAUGGUUCCUACGGGAUAAAGAUUUAUCGCCAAAAGAUGAGUCCGCGUCCGAUUAGCUAGUUGGUGAGGUAACGGCUCACCAAGGCAACGAUCGGUAGCUGGUCUGAGAGGACGAUCAGCCACACUGGGACUGAGGCACGGCC